UACUGUUCUCUGGCUUGCUCUGUCUCUUCUCCAAGAAAGACAUAUGCACAUGCCACAUAGUCAGCAGUUUGGUUUUGCCAUUUGGCUCUUUGCUAUUUUAAGGAGUUCCUACAAGGAUCUUGAACAAAAAGUACGAAGUUUAGACCUCUUUUAUAAAAAAGAGAUGCUUUAGCUGAUAAGUGGCAAAUCAUUUGUUGCAAAAUGAAAUGUUCCUUAAGAGAAGAUCCUGGAUUCAUAUUCAGAUCUGCUUGACACCCACCUCUGGCUUUAUGAACUUUACACAUAAUCUGAAAGCUUGAGGAGGCUUGUGAGAAAUGUUUGAGUUGGUCUUGGAACUCUUGUUCUCAGGCUACAGGAUUGAGGACCCUGUAUGAAACAUGGGAAAGCCUGGAAAACAGUGUGGGAAAACAUUCUUGGCAACAAAAAGUGCAUAAAUGGUGAACUCUGGUGAGUUAUACAUUACCCUCUCUUGUCAUUUACAUUCAUCUUGAGAACUGGAUGACUCUUGUCAUCUAGCUCCUGCAUUUCCAUGUCUCCUGAGAUAAGUUAAUUGGUAGAACUAGCCACCAGUAUUUAAAGUCCUCUGCAAGGAAAUGACCCCUCUGUUCUGCCACCUCCAACCUACCAUGAAGAACUGAACCUUCUGAAAUGAUUGCCACACACAUCUUAACAGAAAACCCAUAGAGGAGCUUAACAUGGUUGCCGUCUGAGAGGCCCAACAAGACCCGAAGUCAGAUGCAGAUAUUAAUACUCAACCAAUGGAAAGAAGCCGGGAACUCCUGUAUUUGAAUUGAGCAAAAGCUGGCAAGCCCCAUUGGAAGACCAGCAGUCUCAACUGACCUGGACCCCUAAGAUCUCUCAGAC